UACAGAGGUCCCGAGCGUUGUUCGGAUUCACUGGGCGUAAAGGGUGCGUAGGUGGCAGGGUAAGUCGGAUGUGAAAGCUCUGAGCUCAACUCCGAAAUGGCAUUGGAAACUACCCAGCUCGAGGGUUGGAGGGGGGACUGGAAUGCUUGGUGUAGCAGUGAAAUGCGUAGAUAUCAAGCGGAACACCAGUGGCGAAGGCGAGUCCCUGGACAACUCCUGACACUGAGGCACGAAAGCUAGGGGAGCAAACAGG
rnacentral:rRNA from 1 species